GGGUUGGGGAGGGGCUCCGAGGGGACCCUCGCCCUCCCUUUCCGCCAAGUGGGGGUCCUUUGCGCCGCCCCAGAAGGGGUCGAAGGAAUGUUGUGGGCUGGGGCACAACCGGGAGGGCAGAAACUGGAAUAAGCAAGAGACAUCGCCAAGGACCAACGGCCCCUCUCCAGUUCUCCCGCCUGCCGGAUAGUGCUCGCCACUCCCUCUUUAGAGCCCUCUCCAUCCCAGACAGUCCUGGAACUAGUAGCCUGGGCCACCCCAGGGGCUCCGAUGCUUUCUCCGAAUCAUUGCUUCUCCCGCUACUUGGGGGACUGUACGCCCACGUCCUGCCUCCCUCGGGCCGCUCUAGAUCAGGCGCCUGCGCCCUCAAAAUCACCCUCUCCAUCCUCCUCCCCAAGGGCUGAGUUUGUACCCCUCUUGGAAAUCGUUUGCGAGAAGGACAAACUUUUGAGUGGAUGAAAAUCAAAGGAGACGGUCCCGAGCAGGCAACUCCAGCUUCAAGAGGACCCCAGGAUAUGAAGCAAGGCUGUUCUGUUCCAAGCAUGGUGUGGGGCGAUGCUGCCAGGCACAGACAGAAGCUCCUACUCACCCCAUUAAGUUGGACAUCACUGAUUCAGCAGGUCAUAGAAGCUCAGCCACAAGAACUCCACACUGAAGCUAAGACAGCACUAGCACCUGGAGGAGAGGGUCAGCCAGUCCACAGCCAACCAACCCUGACGAAACUCCUCCUUCAUGCAGGCACCAUAUGAAGUAGGGGAAGUCUGGCCCCAAGAAGCAUCUGGUUUCAGGUGACAAAAACAAGACACAUCCACUCCAGAUUUUAAAAUAAUAAGAAGAAAUCUGACCAUAAAGGUGAGCUUUAUGAAAAAUAAGCUCCAGAGGCAAGAGAAAGUGCCGUUAACUUGGGUCCUCGCAAAAGACUCCAAGAGGACGUCAGAUAGGAGCGGCCCUGGUGGCUUUGGAAAGGCUGAAGGUCCAUUGCAGGCCUGCAUGCUGCUGAAGAAUCAUUGCAAGGGUUGUUCUUUAUAUCAGUAUCCGUCAUGGAAGAAAAAUGGGCUCCAGCUACAGCAGGGUAGCAUUACUGAAUACUGACUCUCUGUCAGGCACUGGGCCGGGCCCUAGGAAUACAAAGAAGGCCUUACCUUCAAUGCUCUGCCAGCCUAGAUGGGGAAGAAACCACAAGUUAAUCCUUAUAGUACAACAUGGGAAGAGCCAAUACUAGAUACACUCAGGGCAUCACGGGGCACCAUGUACACACCUAAGCCUCUGUUGGGGAUGGGAAAAGAAAAGGGUCAGAAACAGCUUCCUGUAAAGCAGGUAUGUAAACGAAGCAAAAUCAUGCAAAUGAUGCUUCUUCUUCUCCCAUGCCAUAUCCAACUGAAUUUCCACCCCAAGAAAAAACAUUGGCUUUUCCUUUGGUACAACAGAUUGAACCCAGUGGCACCACUGAGCCAUAUCACCAGCCCUUUUUAUUUUUUAUUUUGAGAUGGGGUCUCACUAAGUUCCUUAGGGCCUUACUAAGUUGCUGAGGCUGGUCUUGAACUUGCAAUCCUCCUGCCUCAGCCUCCCAAGCUGCUGGGAUUACAGGUGUGCCCCACGUGCCAGCUGCCACUGGCUUCUUAAACAAAGGUCACAGUGGGGUGUCAACAUCCAGCCCAUUCUCUGUCUCCUGUUAUGAUCUAGGAUGCCUCCCUGCCCCAUCAGACCCUACAGUGCAUCCCUCCUGCCAGCAUGAUGCCUAGGAGUUCUAUGAUUCCCAAGACUUGACAGAAGUGGGGAAUGGGGAGGAAAGAGCAUCCUAAUCCCAGAAUUCUCAUACUCUGAAGCCUUCCUCUUUCCAGCCCUUGGGGAGGAUGCCCCUGUUUCCCCCUACCCCAGUUCUCCAUCCAGCUCCCUCCCCGCCCUGCUGCAGCUGCUCCACUCCCCCAUCUUGAAAGAAUGCACCCUCCCCUCCAAGUCUCCUCCACAGGGUGCAGAGCAGGAGGGAGGCAGCAUAUGGCCCCAUUUUCCUUGGCCUGUGUAAGCUAUUUUGGAAAUGAGAAACCCCCUUGCCCUUUCCUCCUCUCUGGGGAGCACCCUCCCUCCCUCUGCACAUUCCCCAGAAGUUCUCAGACUGAGAUCCGCCCUACGUGCAGUUAUGUGGUGAAAUCACCCCUUUCCUCCCCCAGAGGCUCUGAAACUGGGAAGAGAGCGGAUUCAACCCUUUGAUGUAGGCACGUUUUAAAAGGCCCACCUGUCCCCUCGCUCCCUACGACCCCCGCCCCGCCUGAACUGCUGACUGCUGGAGCCCCUCAUCACAGCUUUAAAUCCCCGGCUACCCCUGCCCCAGCUUGGCCCAGAUCGGUCACACGCACACCCUCUCCUGCUGGGGGUAAUCAAACCCAACCAUGCUCACUCAGGGACAUCUGUCUCCCGCCAAUACGGAAUGAUCCCAAACUCGAGGGGUUCUGUGACACUUAAAAGCUUCAAGCAGGAAGAUCUGCAAUUUCUCUUGGACCAGGGCCUGUGGGGAGGGUCGCUCAGAAACCCCUCGUUUGAUGUUGUGCUUUCAUGGCUGCGGUUUGAUCCAGAUGUUCCCCAGUUGUGGGAUUUUCUCACUGGGAGGGAGGGGCCCUUGGCUGUGAAGACAUUUCCAUCCUGUGCACAUUUGGAUCUGGGCUGCUUGGGAGGGGGAGUUCUUCCAGCUCUCGGCAACCCCACCCUUUCCCCCAGGUCACAUCCUUUCCCUUAACAUCCAAAGAAGAGAGAAGAAUCCCGAACAGGGAAUUCCCACUAGCUUGCUGGCUUGCUGUGUCACUGUCCAAAAACGGCCCUACAUCUCUGUUCUUCUGGUUUCAUAAGAUAGAGCUGGAGUUAGUUCCCCAUAGUGGUUCCUAAAUCAUGGGAAUAGGAAAGGGAGUUCAAGAAUCAAAUUUCUGGCCAAGAUACAAAAAUUAUCUAAGAAAUUGUGAAAGGAAUUGGACCCAAAGUGGAUGAGUCAGGGUUCUUGAAAAAGCAAGAGACUGCCCCUCUUCCAGGACAGUCUCUCAAGGACAGAAGUGAACUUUUAUGACUGUCUGCUCCCUCAGAGCUUCAAAAGGUCAAGGUCAUGUCCCCUCAAGGGCUUCAGUGAAACCCUGGAAAUCUUUCUUUCAACUUUAAGAGACUUCAGUUCUGCUGUCCAGCCUCCCUCAUUGUGUGCUGUAUAGCCUGAGAUGGCUGUGGUGUUAGUCCCACUCAGGGAUCCUCUCAGGCCUCUGGCAAUCCCUCAAAGGCCUUCUGGAGUCACCUAGAUUAAAAAGAAAAAAAAAAUCAGGUUGCUCCUGGAGCUGUGCUGGUGACCCCAUAAGCACUUGGCUUCUUGCCUCCACGUGGGAGUCACAGCCUAAAAUGGAUAGAUGGAUGCCGAGCACUAGAGGACAGAUGGACCCCAGCCCUUACUGGUCCAAGGCACGAGCCCAUGAAUGAUCCUGGAGGACUUUCCUCAGCCUCAAGUUUGCGGUACUAGAGUCUGAUGCAAGUCUCCACCCCAGAGGCAGGCCUGACCACAGCUCCUGAGGAUGCUGUGCACAGGAAGAUAAGGCAGGCAAUCCUAUGUGAAUGUCAAGCACACAAGCUAGACAGAAGAAAGAACUUCCAUAGGGCAUCAAUACUGUAUAGAAAAAUCAUCCAACUUGAAGGAUUCUUGGGAGGCAAUGAACGAGGAGCACCCUCAACUUGCUGAGCCAGAAUUAAGGCACCCCUGGGUGUUGGCACCAUGCUCAAGCUUCACAGACAGGUUUUCGCUGCUGAGCCCCAGCCCAUGCUGCCACCGCCCGGCCACCACUGAGCACAGGGGAAGCUUGGAUAACUUCCUGAAAGACAGAAGUACGAAGCAAGGAUUAGCAGAGAGGUGGGCAGCCUGGAGACAAGCAGAUGUGGGCUGAGGGCCACUUCAGAGAGUCUUCGACAUAUCGCCAUAAAUUGUCUUCUGAGGAGGAAGCCAGAUCCAACAUCAAGUUCUAGCAGUGAAGCCUGGAAGAAGAGACUGGAAUAACCAGGGAGGAAGGAACGCUGUAUAUCUGUGGCAUUGGGUGGCAGGAGUCAUCCCUGAGAGGCUUUGCAGACUGGGCCAGUCCAGCCAGGCCAGCAGGAGGUCUCUGAAGGGAGCAGGCCACUGUGUGAGGGGCCAGGAAGGGAUUUUAUAUAACACCGUGCACUUGCUACUCUGAUGAAGAACCCUCAGAGCUUCCUGGAGUCCCUUUUAACAAAAGCUCUUCACCUUUCCGGGCCUCCUUCCAGAAGCCCUGUUCUGGCCUAAAGCCCUCUUCUGCAAGAUGCCUGCUGAGCAUGGUGUCUUUCCUCCAGAGAGCCUGAAGCCAGCACUAUCCUGGCUGGGCAGGUGGCCCAGCUCAGAGGAAGGAGAACUGACCCACGGGUAGCAGGGCUGGGCUCCCAAUUUCUGACUGGGUAACCUGGAUCUAGAUCUCACAAGGGUAGUGACUAAGUGCCCAGAUCCUGGAGAGGGACUACCUGGGUUCAAAUGCUGCCCUUGCCAUUCAAGGAGUUUGGCCAAGUUAUUUCAUCUCUCUGCCUUAGUUUCCUCAUAGGAAUAAAGAUAUUUCAAAGUU